GAUGAACGCUGGCGGCGUGCCUAAUACAUGCAAGUCGAGCGAAUGGAUUAAGAGCUUGCUCUUAUGAAGUUAGCGGCGGACGGGUGAGUAACACGUGGGUAACCUGCCCACAAGACUGGGAUAACUCCGGGAAACCGGGGCUAAUACCGGAUAACAUUUUGAACCGCAUGGUUCGAAAUUGAAAGGCGGCUUCGGCCGUCACUUAUGGAUGGACCCGCGUCGCAUUAGCUAGUUGGUGAGGUAACGGCUCACCAAGGCAACGAUGCGUAGCCGACCUGAGAGGGUGAUCGGCCACACUGGGACUGAGACACGGCCCAGACUCCUACGGGGGGCAGCAGUAGGGAAUCUUCCGCAAUGGACGAAAGUCUGACGGAGCAACGCCGCGUGAGUGAUGAAGGCUUUCGGGUCGUAAAACUCUGUUGUUAGGGAAGAACAAGUGCUAGUUGAAUAAGCUGGCACCUUGACGGUACCUAACCAGAAAGCCACGGCUAACUACGUGCCAGCCGCCGCCGUAA
rnacentral:rRNA from 1 species